rnacentral:rRNA from 1 species
AUUGAACGCUGGCGGCAGGCUUAACACAUGCAAGUCGAACGAGUGGCGGACGGGUGAGUAAUGUCUGGGAAACUGCCUGAUGGAGGGGGUUAACUACUGGAAACGGUAGUUAAUACCGCAUACCAUCGGAUGUGCCCCGAUGGGAUUAGCUAGUUGGUGGGGUAAUGGCUCACCUAGGCGACGAUCCCUAGCUGGUCUGAGAGGAUGACCAGCCACACUGGAACUGAGACACGGGCCAGACGCCUACGGGAGGCAGCAGUGGGGAAUAUUGCACAAUGGGCGCAAGCCUGAUGAAGCCAUGCCGGGUGUGUGAAGAAGGCCUUCGGGUUGUAAAGUACGUUAAGCGGGGAGGCGUUACCCGGAGAAGAAGCACCGGCUAACUCCGUGCCAGCAGCCGCGGUAAUAC